GUACGAUAUUAAAAUUAAAAAAAUAUUAGAAAGGCUUCCAAUCUAACGUGCUCGAUUACGAUCAAGUUAUAUCUAUUAUUUCCGUUGUUGGACGUACAGCGGAGAUCGUAUCCGCGACAUUUCGAUGAAUUUCAUCCUUUAAUUUCUACGUUGUCGAAUAUAGAGGAAAUGAUAAUAAUCGGAUACUGUAUCGGAUAGAGAGAGGGCAAGCAAACGAAAGGCAGACACUAUGGAAUUCCGAAACAAACAGGAAAUUUACGCGUAUCAUAAAACACCGGCUGCCAGGAUAAUACGUAUUUACCGAGUUGCUGGUAAAGAAGGAACGCCGUUCCUUGUACAUUUUGCUGGAGGAGUGUUGCAAGUAAACUUGGGAAAGUCACCACGAGAGGGCAGUCGUGUCGGUACUGCGUCGGUACAAGGAAACUAUAUCAGUUUAGUGCAUUUAAAUUCAUUUUUCCUAAAAUUUGGAUUUCAAAGUUACGUUAUCGUUGCAGCAAAUGAACGAUAUAUAUAUAUUAUAUAUAAAUAUAUAUAUAAAAAAUAUAAAAAAUAGAAAAA